rnacentral:lncRNA from 1 species
CUGAGAUCUGGGAUUUCAGCCAUGUUUGAUUCAGGGAGAUGGCACAAGUGAAAUGUACUUUCCCAAUCCAUAUCCGUAACUUCAGCCUCAAGUCCUUCAAGAGCCUUGCUUGCUACCAGUUCUUUAAACCUUUGUUCCAUACAUUUCUUGUAAUGUUCUUUCGUUAACCUCUCAACAGAGUCCAUAAAAUCAUGUGGAAUCCCAUGGUUCAUCACCUAAACACACGCACACACAUCAGUACAAUAUUUACAAGAAAAAUGCAGAGUAAACUAAAAACAGAGUAUGAAGUUUUUUUCUUUUUCUUUUGGUACCUCAAAAAAUCCCCAGUUUUCACAGGCAUCCUUGAUUUGCUCCAUGAUUCUUGAUCUCUCAUCACCAUUAAGCUUCUCUAAGUUGAUCACUGGGAAAGUAGCCAUUUCUCUUACAAACCCUUUUUUGGGGGGGGACCUAAAAGAUGUUGUCUCAAAGUCUCCACU